AGGACGAACGCUGGCGGCGUGCCUAACACAUGCAAGUCGAACGAGGUCCAACCGGUAGCAAUACCGGUGAAGACCAAGUGGCGAACGGGUGAGUAGCACGUGAGCAACCUGCCCCGAAGACCGGGACAACACCGGGAAACCGGUGCUAAUACCGGAUAUCCCCACCGAGUCGCAUGGCUUGGUGAGGAAAUGGAUUCCGCUUCGGGAGGGGCUCGCGGCCUAUCAGCUUGUUGGUGAGGUAACGGCUCACCAAGGCUUCGACGGGUAGCUGGUCUGAGAGGACGAUCAGCCACACUGGGACUGAGACACGGCCCAGACUCCUACGGGAGGCAGCAGUGGGGAAUCUUGCACAAUGGGCGAAAGCCUGAUGCAGCAACGCCGCGUGAGGGACGAAGGCUUCUGAGUUGUAAACCUCUUUCAGCAGGGACGAUUGUGACGGUACCUGCAGAAGAACGCCCGGCCAACUACGCGCCAGCAGCCGCGGU
rnacentral:rRNA from 1 species